GAUGAAGAACGUAGCGAAAUGCGAUACGUAAUGUGAAUUGCAGAAUUCAGUGAAUCAUCGAGUCUUUGAACGCACAUUGCGCCCGCCAGUAUUCUGGCGGGCAUGCCUGUCCGAGCGUCAUUUCAACCCUCGAACCCCUCCGGGGGGUCGGCGUUGGGGAUCGGCCCUGCCUCUUGGCGGUGGCCGUCUCCGAAAUACAGUGGCGGUCUCGCCGCAGCCUCUCCUGCGCAGUAGUUUGCACACUCGCAUCGGGAGCGCGGCGCGUCCACAGCCGUUAAACACCCAACUUCUGAAAUGUUGACCUCGGAUCAGGUAGGAAUACCCGCUGAACUUAAGCAUAUCAAUAAGCGGAGGA
rnacentral:misc_RNA from 1 species